AUUGAACGCUGGCGGCAGGCCUAACACAUGCAAGUCGAACGGUAACAGAAAGCAGCUUGCUGCUUUGCUGACGAGUGGCGGACGGGUGAGUCAUGUCUGGGAAACUGCUUGAUGGAGGGGGAUAACUACUGGAAACGGUAGCAAAUACGGCAUAACUUUUCAAGACCAUAGUGGGGGACUGUCGGACGGCUUUCCAUUGACUGAUACCAGAUGGGAUUCGCUAGUAGGUGGGGGAACGGCUCACCUAGGCGACAAUCCCUAGCUGGUCUGAGAGGAUGACCCGCCACACUGGAACUGAGACACGGUCCAGACUCCUACGGGAGGCAGCAGUGGGGAAUAUUUCACAAUGGGCGCAAGCCUGAUGCAGCCAUGCCGCGUGUAUGAAGAAGGCCUUCGGGUUGUAAAGUACUUUCAGCGGGGAGGAAGGGAGUAAAGUUAAUACCUUUGCUCAUUGACGUUACCCGAAGAAGAAGCCCCGGCUAACUCCGUG
rnacentral:rRNA from 1 species